rnacentral:rRNA from 1 species
GACGAACGCUGGCGGCGUGCUUAACACAUGCAAGUCGAACGGAAAGGCCCUGCUUUUGUGGGGUGCUCGAGUGGCGAACGGGUGAGUAACACGUGAGUAACCUGCCCUUGACUUUGGGAUAACUUCAGAAAACUGGGGCUAAUACCGGAUAGGAGCUCCUGCUGCAUGGUGGGGGUUGGAAAGUUUCGGCGGUUGGGGAUGGACUCGCGGCUUAUCAGCUUGUUGGUGGGGUAGUGGCUUACCAAGGCUUUGACGGGUAGCCGGCCUGAGAGGGUGACCGGCCACAUUGGGACUGAGAUACGGCCCAGACUCCUACGGGAGGCAGCAGUGGGGAAUAUUGCACAAUGGGCGGAAGCCUGAUGCAGCAACGCCGCGUGCGGGAUGACGGCCUUCGGGUUGUAAACCGCUUUAGCCUGUGACGAAGCGUGAGUGACGGUAAUGGGUAAAGAAGCACCGGCUAACUACGUG